rnacentral:rRNA from 1 species
AGUGAAGCGGCAAUAGCUCAAAUUUGAAAUCUGGCACCUUCGGUGUCCGAGUUGUAAUUUGAAGAAGGUAUCUUUGGUUUUGGCUCUUGUCUAUGUUCCUUGGAACAGGACGUCACAGAGGGUGAGAAUCCCGUGCGAUGAGAUGCCCAAUUCCAUGUAAAGUUCCUUCGACGAGUCGAGUUGUUUGGGAAUGCAGCUCUAAGUGGGUGGUAAAUUCCAUCUAAAGCUAAAUAUUGGCGAGAGACCGAUAGCGAACAAGUACUGUGAAGGAAAGAUGAAAAGAACUUUGAAAAGAGAGUGAAAAAGUACGUGAAAUUGUUGAAAGGGAAGGGCUUGAGAUCAGACUUGGAAUUUUCCAGUAAUGGAGCUUUCCGGGCCAGCAUCAGUUUGGAUGGCAGGAUAAUUGCGUAGAAAAGUAGCUCUACUUCGGUGGAGUGUUAUAGUCUGCGUCGAUACUGCCUGUCUAGACUGAGGACUGCG